AGAUCGAGAGAUGGAGCAAAUCCCAAAAAUAAACGUCCCAGUUCGGACUGUAGUCUGCAACCCGACUACACGAAGCUGGAAUCGCUAGUAAUCGCGGAUCAGAAUGCCGCGGUGAAUACGUUCCCGGGUCUUGUACACACCGCCCGUCACACCAUGGGAGUCAGUAACGCCCGAAGUCAGUGACCUAACCGAAAGGGAGGAGCUGCCGAAGGCGGGACGGAUGACUGGGGUGAAGUCGUAACAAGGUACC
rnacentral:rRNA from 1 species